rnacentral:rRNA from 1 species
CGCUCUUUGAAGCAUUUAUAUAAAGAGUCGUACCUGCCCAAUGAUAUAAUGAAUGGCCGCAGUAUUUUGACUGUGCUAAGGUAGCAUAAUCCAUAGUUUUUUAAUUGAAAGCCUGUAUGAAUGGUUUGACGAAGAUAACGCUGUCUCUUUUAUAUUAUUUAAAAAUUAUUUUUUAAGUGAAGAAACUUAAAUAAUUUCAAAAGACGAAAAGACCCUAUCGAGCUUUAAAUUUAAUUUAAAUUUAUUUUUUAGUAAAAUUACUAUUUAAAUAAAGUUUUUUGUUGGGGCAACAAGAGAACCAAAAAAGCUUCUUUUUAUUUAUAUAAUUGAUAGAUUAUUUGAUCUAAAAUUUUAAUUGGAAGAAAUAGUUACCGUAGGGAUAACAGCAUAAUUUUUCUGGAGAGUUCAAAUUGAAGGAAAAGAUUGUGACCUCGAUGUUGGAUUGGAAAAACUUUUAAAUGCAGCAGUUUAAAGAAGUGAGUCUGUUCGACUUUUAAAUUUCCACA